rnacentral:rRNA from 1 species
GUCCUAGCCGUAAACGAUGAACACUAGGCGUAGUCGGUAUCGACCCCGGCUGUGCCGUAGCUAACGCAUUAAGUGUUCCGCCUGGGGAGUACGGCCGCAAGGCUAAAACUCAAAGGAAUUGACGGGGCCCGCACAAGCAGCGGAGCGUGUGGUUUAAUUCGUCGGUACGCGAAGAACCUUACCAGGGCUUGACAUGUGGCGGAAAGCGGCGGAAACGUCGUCCUCCCGCAAGGGAUCGUCAUGCAGGUGUUGCAUGGCUGUCGU